AGGAGGAGGGAGUAAAGCCGAGAGAGGAGACGGGAGAGAGACACCACACACACACGGCACAAGAUGGCCGGAGAGGCAGCAGCACCCCGAGCUGUCAGGCGUUCCGCCGCGGCCGCGGGACCCGCCGGCUGGCCGGGGAGCUGCGCCCGGGCGGCCCGCAGGCCCGCGGGGGCGAAGCGGCGGCGGCCGAGGCGAGAUCGGCCGCGCGCCGCGGGUCGGAUCCCCGCGGCGGAGGCGCCCGAAACGGCCGGGGCCCACGACGCCGAAAGUGCCGCUGCGGCAGCGGCCGCGGAGGCUCCCCGGGGUCCCGGCGGCUCGACCCGGCGCGGGCGACCAGGCCCUGCGCGGGAAGCGUGUGCGGGCGACCUGGAGGUGCCGGCGGCUUGCGCUCGGACCGGGUGACUUACAAGAUUAAAAUAAAAUUUGGUUGAUGAUGGUUCUGAACAAAUACAGCUCUUUUAUUUGAGAAACCAUUUUGAAGACUGAGACCAUGGAGUUUUAUAUCUGAGGAUAAAGGAAAUCUUUGCAGAAGUCUGUAUUUUAUAUAGCAAAAAUGUGAAUCCUGAGACUGAAUCUCUAAAGGGCCUGUACAACGUAAUAGAUGUUGGUGGAAGCAUUUACACCCAGUCAGCUUGAAGAGUCUCAAAUGGACCCUACCACUGAGAAAUCAAGAUGGCAGUCCACUAUGGGGAAUAGAGGAAAAUGGAUUAAUACAAGAGUGCUGUGAUAACAUACAACCAAGACAGGGUUCUUUUAACAUGGAUUUCAUGAAAGGAAUGAAGACAAUAGGUUUCUUACCAACACAGAUGGACAGUGGAUUUGACUUUCUAAAGACUUUUUGUAUCAUUCAACAAGUCCAUUUUUGACAUUUGGAGAUGAAAGAUGGCACCUUAACAGAGAUGAUAGUUUGUACGUCUGGAAUUUUUUUCAGUUUGAUUUGUAUGAAUAUGACCUUGUGAAAUGUUAACUUUAAUAAAAUUUCUAACACUUUAAAAUU